UAGGGAAUCUUCCACAAUGGACGCAAGUCUGAUGGAGCAACGCCGCGUGAGUGAAGAAGGUUUUCGGAUCGUAAAGCUCUGUUGUUGGUGAAGAAGGAUAGAGGCAGUAACUGGUCUUUAUUUGACGGUAAUCAACCAGAAAGUCACGGCUAACUACGUGCCAGCAGCCGCGGUAAUACGUAGGUGGCAAGCGUUGUCCGGAUUUAUUUGGCGUAAAGCGAGCGCAGGCGGAAUGAUAAGUCUGAUGUGAAAGCCCACGGCUCAACCGUGGAACUGCAUCGGAAACUGUCAUUCUUGAGUGCAGAAGAGGAGAGUGGAAUUCCAUGUGUAGCGGUGGAAUGCGUAGAUAUAUGGAAGAACACCAGUGGCGAAGGCGGCUCUCUGGUCUGCAACUGACGCUGAGGCUCGAAAGCAUGGGUAGCGAACAGG
rnacentral:rRNA from 1 species